AUUGGAAUCCCCAAGGAAAACGCAAACGUGGUCGACCCAGGCAAACUUGGCGGCGCACUGUAGCGGACGAGGCGAAGAAGAUCGGCAAAACCUGGAGCGAGAUCAAGCGAGAAGCUCAAGACCGAACGAGAUGGAGGACUGUUGUAGUAAAGUAGUUGACUGUUGCAGUGAAGUAAGUCAAGAGGCGGUACAUACAAACAAAAGGUGGACUCUUUGUUUUUUUUUUAAAACGGAGCCCGAAAGCGUAUGAGCUAUUGCGCCACAUAUUUAUUUUGCCUAGUCAACGAUCAAGAAAAUGAAGGUAUUGAGUGAAAAAACUGCCCCAAUCAUACAGCACCAAAUUUGAUUCCGGCCCAGUGUAUAGUUUUUUCAACUAAAGUUUUUUGUUAUUUUUGCCUCGAGAAUGUACUUAUUGUGAAUUUCUUUGUUAAUGCUCAAGUAAAACUAUAGUUUUACUUGAGUCAAAGAAAAUCGUAGUUGUUGUAUAAACAAAUAAUUUAUAAAUCUAUUAGGGUAAAUUUUAUUGUCGUCUUUUUUUUUCUUAGAAACUUGCAGUACAUUAUUCACUUUUUGGAAACUGAUAAUUACUUGUUAAUACCAUAAUUUAUUAUGGAAAAUUGUACUGUUAAGUAGGUCUUUUGUAGUUUUACGCAAGUUAAAGAAAAUCGUAGUAUAUUUUUUUCUACACAAAUUUUACUUAGGUAUAAGGGGACAUAAUAUGAUUGUUUGUUUGUUUAUAUUGAACAGGCUCCGAAACUAAGUACUGGACCAAUUUGAAAAAUUAUUUCACAAUUAGAAUCCUUCAUUUUCCCUAAUGAAGAUACGCUAAAACUGGAUUUUUACUGGCGGUACGAAGUUCGCCGGGUCAGCUAGU